CCCAGCUGUAAGCAGCUGCUUAGGUUGUAUUGCACCUAACCAAGUGUUACAUUGCUGGGAGAAAAGCAGCUAAUAGCUGCUGGGCGUCCUGGGCUUGAUUAAUGCCAAAUUGGUGCUAACUAU
ensembl:snoRNA SNORA74 Small nucleolar RNA SNORA74